rnacentral:lncRNA from 1 species
GAUCAGCCCUGCACUGAGAAAGCCAUUUAUCUACUGUGGCACCGAAUUUGGAAGAUUUUCUGUUUGGACUUCCAGGCAACAUGGGAGAUGCUGAGAGCUGAAGCCCAAAGAGGUGUAAGGACUGACACCAUGUGAAUGGCAGGAAUGACUCAGCGAGUUCAGGAACCAAUCAGGUACAAAUUGUGGAAGAAAUCCUCGAUCAGGAUGAGCCCCAAGUUCUUUAUAUGCUCAAGGAAGGUACACUGCUUUGAAGAAGUCUUUAUCGCAUCUGAGCAAUAGC